GGCCGGGCCGGGCGGCGGCGGCGGCGGCGGCGGCGUCGUCGUCAGCGGCGGCAGCGGCAGCAGCGCUCCCCGGCAGCAUGGGCGGCUCUGCCUCCAGCCUGCUGGACGAGAGCAAGUGCACCUACAUCCGAGGAAAAACAGAGGCUGUCAUCAAAAACUUCAGCCCACACUACAGACGCCAGUAUGCCGUGGCUUUCUGCAAGCACGUGCAGGAUGAGCUGGAGCAGCACCGGGAUUCCCAGUCUCGGUUCCUGAAAACCAAGCCUCUGGUGGAAGCUGGGACAGUCUUAUACGAAGCAGAACUGCUUCAUUUUGCUGAGGAUCUGAAGAAGUGGAAGGACAGAUAUGUUGUUAUAAAAAACGACUACACUGUGGAUUGCUUUGAGACUAAAGAGGCCUACCAGAAAGGAGCCAGCCCUAAAUAUCAAGUUCUUCCUGCAGGAGGCAAAGUACUGACUUCAGAAGAAGAUUACAAUUUGCUGUCUGAUAAACAUUUUCCAGAUCCUGUUGGGUCGAGUGAGAAGGAGGUCGCUCAAGCCUUCGUUCAGCUGCCGAGGGAGUUCCCGGUUUACCUGUGGCAGCCCUUCACCCGGCACAGCUACUAUUGCUUCCCAGAGCCAGAAGCUCAGAGGCAGUUCAGCGCUGUGCUGGGCGACUGCGUGAGGCACUCAAACCACGAUUUUCUCAAGCAGACCACGUAUGAAGUCGAGGCAUUCUUAGAAGCCAUUCAGUUCUUCCGGCAGGAGAAAGGCCACUAUGGGAUGUGGGAAAUGAUAACUGGCAACGAAAAAGAGAUCCUGAGCAACCUUGUGAUGGAGGAACUCCUGCCUAACCUUCAGACAAUGAUCCUGCCUAAAAUGAAAGGAAAGAGGAACGAUAGGAAGCGGGCCUGGUUUGGUAUCGUAGAAGAAACUUACGGCUUAGUCCAGCAGCAGGUGUCAGAAGGCUUAAGUACCUUGAAAGAAGAAUGCAGAGAUUUUGCAAAAACUCUGGAAGGAACCAUUCGUUCAGACAUGGAUCAGAUUCUGAACUCCAAGAACUUCUUAGCUGGAAAAAUCAAAGCCACUGUUUCUGAGCCUGCCCAGAAGUGCUGCACAGAAAAUAUCCAGCCAUUUCUCACAUCCAUAUUAGAGGAGCUCAUGGGUCCAGUGAGUUCUGGAUUCACUGAAGUCCGCUCCCUUUUUGAUAAAGAAGUUAAUGAAAUCAUCCAGGACUUCCAGAAGACAAAUGAUAUCACAAAGCUAAAGGAGAACAUGGAUCAGCUCAUGAACCUACCAUUCAACUCUGCGAAAAUGGAGCCCUGCUAUCUGAAAGUGAACCUCCUCCAGGAGCUCUUUCAAGACCUCAAGAAUCGCUUCAAGGUGUAUCACAUUGAUUUUGUGAUUCAGAGGACACAGAACUUCAUGCAAGAGCUGAUGGAAAAUGCAGUUUAUACUUUUGAGCAGUUGUUCUCUCCAAGUCGCCAGGCAGACCCAGCAAAAUUUGCAACAACCAUUGAAAAAGUCAAGCUGAGAGUACUGAAGCAAUAUGAUUAUGACAGCAGCACUAUCCGGAAGAAGAUAUUUCAAGAAGCACUGGUACAGAUUACUUUGCCCACAAUGCAAAAGACACUGGCUUCAACGUGCAAACCGGAGCUGCAGAAAUACGAGCAGUUCAUUUUUGCUGAUUACACUAGCGUGAUCCAAGUAGAGAAUGUGUAUGAAGAGAUUUUAUAUCAGACACUGCUUGAAGAAACCCUGAAAGUGAUAAAAGAAGCUGCCAUUAUGAAGAAGCACAACCUCUUUGAAGAUAACUUGAAUAUGCCCUGUGAAAGCGUGUCCAGCUUAACGGACCUGAAGACCCCUUCAGGAUCAGCACAAACCACUCCCGCAAAGAAACCUUCCACUGCCCGAGCCGAGAUGUCAGACACUGAAACUCAAAGUGAUGAAACACUCAUUGUGACAGAAAAUAUUUCCUGGGAGAAGGAUAGUGAUGAUAGAAAGUCAUCAGACAAAGAGGCAGUCACUGCUGUUAAUAUGGCUGGUCAUCAGGCAAGCAAAAAUGAAGAAGUGGUCAUUACAGACAUCAGUGAGAAACGGGAGUCCCUUUCAGCUACCCUUAGAAAACAAGAAGUUGCAGAGGAAAAAAGUGCUUUGGAGAAUGAAGACACGGUGAAAGCAGAGUUUGUAGCGAACACUGAGAAAGAGCUUAAGACACAGCAAAAAGCUGUGGAGGAAAAAGUAGCUCCUGGGACUGAAACUGCAGUGAAAGAUUUUGGAGCCAGCCCUAAAAAAGAACUUAAGGUACAUAAAGGAGCAGUGGAGGAAAAGGUAACUUCUGAGAAAAGCAAAGCACAGGAAGAAGUUUCUGAGAUAAAGCUGACUUCCCCACAUGAUAACGUAGCAGAAACAGAGAUUUUAGGGAAUGCCAAAAAGAAAAUCAAGAUAGAAAAAGAAAUUAUGGAAGAAAUUUCUUUUUGGUUAAAGCCCUCACUGUUUAAAACCAGGUUAUUGUUGGGGAACCUCAUCUUUCACUUAAAACUUGCUACCUUUUAUGGUUAUAGAAAAAAUCAGAAAAUGUGA
ensembl:lncRNA